UAAUGUCAAAAUACUAAAACUGGGGAA
rnacentral:piRNA from 1 species